UGUAUUCAAAUCUAAUUAUAAUUAGGAUUGGGAUAAUACAAAAAUAUACUUUUUGCUUAGUGAUAGGCCUAUCUAUUACAUUGUGACAGAAUUUUGUUUCUCAAUAAUUCUCAUCCUGAGUGCCAAACUGAUCAACUGCAUCCUAAUGGAACGUUCAAGAUGUGAUUCAGUAACUGAUACGGUUGUUGCAAUAAUUAUUUUUGACCAAAUUGAAUCCACAAAAUAAUUGAAGAAAUGGUUUCAGAUGAUUACGAACAAGCGCAGCUAUCUUUGGAGGGGUAAUGCACCUACUGAUAUUCCGUGAUAAGAACUUGGGAGAGAUUUAGUGAAAACCUGGAGAACGGCCACUUAGCUCACAAAUCUGAGCUGUUCACAUCAAGCUGAUAUUUGUGACAGCCAUUAUAGCUUUAAUCAUUUUCUCGAUUGAUCAAAGCACCACAGACUGCAUCGUUCGUCACCUCUGCCUUAAGUGCGUUAUCA